rnacentral:rRNA from 1 species
ACGGAGGGUGCAAGCGUUACUCGGAAUAACUGGGAGUAAAGAGCGUGUAGGCGGGCAUAUAAGUCAGACAUUAAAUCCAAUAGCUUUACUAUUGAACUGCUUUUGAAACUGUAUACCUAGAAUGUGGGAGAGGUAGAUGGAAUUUCUGGUGUAGGGGUAAAAUCCGUAGAGAUCAGAAGGAAUACCGAUUGCGAAGGCGAUCUACUGGAACAUUAUUUACGCUGAGACGCGAAAGCGUGGGGAGCAAACAG